rnacentral:rRNA from 1 species
UGGGGAAUCUUGCACAAUGGGGGAAACCCUGAUGCAGCGAUGCCGCGUGAGUGAAGAAGGCCUUUGGGUUGUAAAACUCUUUCGUCGGGGAAGAAAAUGACUGUACCCGAAUAAGAAGGUCCGGCUAACUUCGUGCCAGCAGCCGCGGUAAUACGAGGGGUGCAAGCGUUGUCCGGAAUCACUGGGCGUAAAGGGUCCGUAGGCGUCCCAAUAAGUCAUUUGUAAAAUACACCGGCUUAACCGGUGGCCUGCAUUUGAAACUAUUGGGAUAGAGUAUAGGAGAGGAAAGUGGAAUUCCUGGUGUAGCGGUGACAUGCGUAGAUAUCAGGAGGAACACCAAUGGCGAAGGCAGCUUUCUGGCCUAUUACUGACGCUGAGGGACGAAAGCGUGGGGAGCGAACAGG